UUUUGCUGAUGUGACGAUCGCCACACAUUCAUGAUGCUCGUCACGACCCAGACUGUGACGACCGUCACAGGCCCAUGACGAGCGUCACGCGGCCACAAAGUGCGCUUUGAAACAGUCAGCAACAGGCACCCAAACGUGCCUAAAUCUCCUCCAACAAACUUUUCCCACGGAUUCCUCUCUCAAGACCAAAUCUUCCUUGAUUUUCUCAACUACCAAGACCUAAUGGACACAAGUCAGCAACAGGCACCCAAACGUGCCUAAAUCUCCUCCAACAAACUUUUCCCACGGAUUCCUCUCUCAAGACCAAAUCUUCCUUGAUUUUCUCAACUACC
rnacentral:lncRNA from 1 species